AUGUUCGAGUAUGUAAAUGUUGUCAGCAAGAUGUUUGAUAGUGAGGCUGAAGGCUAUGAAUUCUACAACAAAUAUGCUCUUGAAAAAGGUUUUAGUGUGAGGAAAAGCUACGUUGAGUGGGAUGGAUCCAACAAAUACAUAAUUUUAAGGAAAAUUGUGUGUAGUCGUCAAGGGUUUCGCAAAGAGAAGCACAUGAAAAGAAAGAUGGAAGAUAGAAAGAGGAGGCCAUGA
rnacentral:rRNA from 1 species